rnacentral:lncRNA from 1 species
GCCACUGCUAGGACACUCAACAGGGAACCCGAAGCAGCAAGAGAUCCAGGAGCAGCCCAGCUACUGCUUGGCUCUCACAAAAUGGUCGCCUUGGAACUCUUUAUGGAAAAGGAGAAAACACCACCACCACCGUUUCCUAACCCUGCACUGAAUGUGAAGACAACAACCACCCACCCCCAAAGGAAACUCUGCCAGGGUACAUGUAUAGUACCUACAGCAUUGAUCAAGUAUUUUGGAUCAAUAAGUGAGGUUGUACUGUUGACUGUUUUCAUCUCAUUAAUGAACGACACAUCGCUGAAGCUCACGGUGAAGUCUCAACCUCCAGUUUGCAGACUACGUGGCACCAUUUUACAGACACACGUAAUUACUUUAAAAAUUCCUUCCUUCCUCCUCCCCCCACCCGGGCUGCUGCUCACCAGUGUCUGUGUUGAUCUGUCCUCAUCUUCUUCCCACCUCCCAUCAACUUUCCUCCUGUCCUUACUCUGGGGUGAUCUCAGCCAGCCUCAGGCUUCUAUCUACCAGCAGUUGGGGCCUGCAAGGCUUUAUGCCCUGCCCCCAGCUCUUCAUGUCUCCAGACGCCUGACUCCAAUUGUGCACCACACAGGUGCUACCCUCCCCAGCCUCUGCUAUCUCCCUGAAGGCAUCUCCUCUCCCCCUCCCCUUGUUUACUGGGCUGUGGCCACACCCGCCCCCUCCCUGCUCCCUGAACAUGUCAGGCACACACUCCUGCUUUAGGUCUUUGCACAUACUUUGCCUCUCUCUGUCUGGAAUGUUCUCCCACAUGCCCACAUGACAUACUCCCUCAUUUCUGUCAUAUCUUUGCUCUGACGUCACCUGCUCAGUGGGGUCUCUGCUAGCUCUUUAUCUAAAACGGAAAACUGCUCCUUCUUCGACCCGAACACCCGAUCUGCCUUCCCCGCAUUCUUUUUCUUCCCGGCCCUUGGCAUCAUCUGUUUUUCUUACUUGCUUGCUGUCUGUCGCCUGCUGCAGUCCCUGCCAGAAUGUUGUCUCCAUGGGGUCCAAAGACCAAACUAGCUUUGUUUAGGGCUGUUUCCUUAAGGCCCUAGGACAGUGCCUAACCCCUACAAAGGCUCAAACACCAUUCGCUGAAUAAGUGUUGGGAUUUCGUAUUAGUUUCCUGGGUCCGCCAUCACAAAGUACCACACACUGGGUGGCUUAGGCAACAGAAAUUGAUUUAUUUAUUUUCUCACACUUUAGAUCAGGGUGUGAGCAGCGUGGGUCUCCUCUCUCCAUGGCUGGUGGAUGACGUCCUUCCCAGUGUCUUCACGUGGUCUUCCUUCUGUGUGUGUAGAUGCCCACUCUCUUCUUAUAGGACACGUUAUCAGAUUAGGGUCCCUCCCCCCAAAUGAGCUCAUUCACCUUGGCUUUACCUUUCAAGAUCUGGUAUCCAAAUACAGUCACAUGGGUAGUUAGUACUUCAACGUAUAGAUUUUGGAGGCAAAUCCAUUCCAUAACAGGUUUCUAUCUGUAGUACCUACUCACUACUCACAUGCGUUUUUUUUUUCCAUAUUCCCUUGCCCCCAUUAUUUGCUCACACAGUGCUAACCCCAGUUUUCCCUUAGCCCUAAUUAUAACUCUAUUUAUUUAUUUGUAUAGGCUUGCACUUUCCCUCUACCACUAUACUCCAAGUUCCUGGCUGGCACUGGAGUUACAUCCUUAGCAUGUACACCAUAACCUCCAGGUGAGGUAAGUAUGAUUACUCUCAUUUUGAAAA